CUUAUUUUAUCUCGGAAAUCCUGGAUAUCUAUUAUCUGGUCGGAAGUUCAAUGAGUUGAAAUUAUAAAUGCAUGAUAAACAUAUAAAAAUCUUAAGAAACACGAAAUUUAAGUUUACAGCAUUCCAAAUCAAGUCAUUUCAUAUGAAAUUCGUAAUCUCAAAGAUUUAGCGGAUAUAAUUUCCCUCGGAUUCGGCAGCCCUGGCCCCAUCAACCAGCGGAUCAUCGCUCGCAAAAAGAACGAUCCAGGCAACCGUCACCAUCAGGAGAGUGCAGCCAGAGCCGACAUUUUGUUUCUCGUCGAAUCAGCCAACAAUCGUCGCAACGUCUCUUAUUCGCAAAGUUCACGGGCCGGGAACAACCCUUGGACCACUCUUUUUCUGUCCCGUUCGAAAACCUGCUCGGGGGUCGCGGAACCGGAAUCAGAACGUCGCGAGUUAUUCUUCUGUUCAGCGGAAAAUCGGUGCGGAUACUUUUUCCUUUCUUUCGUUCCUUGCUGUGGACGUGUCCAACUAGCAGAAGCCAGUUUUGGACUUUUGUGUGUGAAUAAGAAAAGCCAACUGCGCUAAAACAAGGAAUCUGGUGCAUCCGGAGGAAAAGAGGUCUGGUUUCAUCGGUAUAUUUUUCCGCUCGGGAGGAAGAAACAGUGACAUGAGCAGUUUUGGAUCCGAUUCCAUCAGAGCCUGAGGAGAAGAAACUUACUUCUAGUCGGAUUACCGCAAAGGAAAAAGUUCAAAAAAUCACAAUUCCGGUGUGUUUGUGAGAAGAACGUGACUGAAUACGCGGAUCAUUUGGAUUAAUAGCAGCACCAGUUCCCUCGGCUUUAGGAGCGGAAAGGCGAAAGACCAGUUGGGACAACCGGCAGGGCAG